CCUACAAGGUGACUGUUUCUACUUCCAGACAGAUGAUUCCUGAGAAAACGAACAGAAUUUACCUGACGCUGAUAAACUCAAAGGAGCAGAGCAGUGACAGAGUCCUGGUCAACAAAUCCUAUUUUGGUGGUUUUGUUUGGUCUAAAAGGGAGUUCUCCUUCGACGUCUGUGUGGAGAAGGACCUUGGAGACAUUGUCCUGGUGAAACUUGAAAAGAACUGCUAUUUUAAUUUUUUUUCGUGGUUUUGUGAGCAUAUCACAGUGAAAACACCCUCUGGAAAAUGCCUUGAGUUCCCCUGUCAGUCCUGGUUACUUGACGAAAAGCCAAGGUUUUACCGAGAAGGCACUGCUCGAUUGGCUCAGGAUGACAACGAAUUUCUUAAAGAGAAAAGAAUAGAACAACUG